CCGAGUUUACAACUCCCAAACCCAAUGUGAACCAUACCAAACUGUUGCCUCGGCGGGGUCACGCCCCGGGUGCGUCGCAGCCCCGGAACCAGGCGCCCGCCGGAGGGACCAACCAAACUCUUUACUGUAGUCCCCUCGCGGACGUUAUUUCUUACAGCUCUGAGCAAAAAUUCAAAUGAAUCA
rnacentral:misc_RNA from 2 species